rnacentral:misc_RNA from 1 species
GAUUAAACGGGAAGCGUCUUAACUGACCUUCUCACCCUUCACAUCCACAUACACCCUGUGAACUGUUUGGCUUCAACUCUCGAGUUGGGCUCUCCUAUCGAUAGAUUAGCAAUAGUCUAGCGAGAAGAGGGUUCGUCUCGAGAGCGGGAGUCAUCAUUUUUAUACAUACACAAAGUCUAAUGAAUGUAAACGUUUUAUAUAAACAAAAUAAAACUUUCAACAACGGAUCUCUUGGUUCU